UCCGUAGGUGAACCUGCGGAAGGAUCAUUAGUGAACGCCCUCACGGGCUUAUAACUAUUCCAAACCUCUGUGAACCGUGCCCUUCGGGGCUAUUUUACAAACAUGGUGUAAUGAACGUCAUUUUUCAUAACAAAACCCCACUUUCAACAACGGAUCUCUUGGCUCUCGCAUCGAUGAAGAACGCAGCGAAAUGCGAUAAGUAAUGUGAAUUGCAGAAUUCAGUGAAUCAUCGAAUCUUUGAACGCACCUUGCGCCCUCUGGUAUUCCGGAGGGCAUGCCUGUUUGAGUGUCAUGUAGAGUCAAUCGGGCGGGUUUCCGAGGAGAUUGGACUUGGGUGUUGCCGCUCUGCCGGCUCGCCUUAAAAGACUUAGCGGGAUAGCACCGUAGUCGGCGUAAUAAGUUUCGUCGGUGAAGGUUGUGAUGACUGCUUACAAUCGCCCUCGGGCAAUUUUUGACUCUGACCUCAAAUCAGGUAGGACUACCCGCUGAACUUAAGCAUAUCAAUAAGCGGAGGAAAAGAAACUAACAAGGAUUCCUUAGUAGCGGCGAGCGAAGCGGGAAGAGCUCAAAUUUGAAAGCUGGCGUCCUACGGGCGUCCGCAUUGUAAUCUAUAGAGGCGUUUUCUGUGCUGGACCGUGUCCAAGUCCCUUGGAACAGGGUAUCAAAGAGGGUGACAAUCCCGUACUUGACACGACAACCAGUGCUCUGUGAUACGUCUUCUACGAGUCGAGUUGUUUGGGAAUGCAGCUCAAAAUGGGUGGUGAAUUCCAUCUAAAGCUAAAUAUUGGCGAGAGACCGAUAGCGAACAAGUACCGUGAGGGAAAGAUGAAAAGCACUUUGGAAAGAGAGU
rnacentral:rRNA from 1 species